UGGGGAAUAUUGCGCAAUGGACGAAAGUCUGACGCAGCGACGCCGCGUGUGGGAGGAAGCUCUUCGGGGUGUAAACCACUGUCAGGAGGGAAGAACGGCGCCGGUUCGAACAGUUCCGGCGAUUGACGGUACCUCCAAAGGAAGCACCGGCUAACUCCGUGCCAGCAGCCGCGGUAAGACGGAGGGUGCAAGCGUUGUUCGGAAUUACUGGGCGUAAAGCGCGGGCAGGCGGUCUGUUAAGUCGUUUGUGAAAAUCCGGGGCUCAACCCCGGAAAUGCAUACGAUACUGGCAGGCUGGAGACUGGUAGAGGCUAGUGGAAUUCCUGGUGUAGCGGUGGAAUGCGUAGAUAUCAGGAAGAACACCUGUGGCGAAGGCGGCUAGCUGGGCCAGUUCUGACGCUCAUCCGCGAAAGCGUGGGGAGCAAACAGGAUUAGAUACCCACGUAGGCCCUGAGCGGGCUGGCAAGGCGCAU
rnacentral:rRNA from 1 species